CUUUAAAAAUCUGGAUCAAGCUGAAAAUUGAAACGACACACAUGUUAUGUGUGUUCGAGUCUCUCAAAUUUUCGCAACACGAGCCGUUUUACGAAACAGUUUCGG
rnacentral:sRNA from 1 species